AUGACCAUGAAGGCUAGAGCCACCGAUGCAGAGAAGAACGUGCAAGAGCUGAAUGCUAAGCCGGAUAGACUUCAAAAGACAAACGGCGAGCAAACGGUUAGGAUUCAAAAGACUAAAAGUGUUCUUAAAGGUGCAGAGGAGGAGCUGAUGAAGGUGCAGUCAGAAGCAACACCAAAAUCAGAGCAGCUCAGAGAGAAAGAAAAGCAGCCGAAGGGGCGCCUCCCACCUGGUACCACCCAACUUCCUCUUAAGCGGCGCCACCCGGUGGCGCCCCAACCGCUAGUUACAAUGUUGUGUGGCUGCUAG
rnacentral:rRNA from 1 species